CCAUCAGUAGGCAGUUUUAAAAAGCGGAUUCAUCCCAAAUAUUUUCAUAUGCUUUGGCACGCGUGACACUCUUUCUUGCUGGAUUCUCCUUCUUAGGAGGCUUCACUUAUACUUGCACCUAUUUGCAUACCUGCACCUAGUGAAUGCUAAUGUUUCUUUUUCUUCUUCUUCUUCUUCACCUUCUCAUCAGGCUGCCGUAGUAUCCCGAGCAGAACACUGUGCAGGUGACCUCUGGGCAGGUUAAUUAAUUUCCCGGAGUCUUAAUGACUUCAUUUUGCAAAGCAGGACUAAAAACACCUAGCUGAUGAGGCUGCCAUGAGUAUGAAAAGAGACAGUGGGCGGGAGGAUGCCGCGAUCAUUCUUGGGGUUGUGCAGAUGGAGGAUGUUAAUAUGGCAUGAAUUCUGGAUGGGAAAAGCAAGUCCCAAUGUUUGCGCUCCUUUAGAAGAGAGACGGCAGGAAAGAAAUCGCCACGGUCAAGGUAAAAAGCACAGAGCUCUGUCUUUGCUGAGGUUUUUCACGGGCUCCCCCACCUGCCCAGGCUAGAUUCUUUCCUGGCCUGGGAAGUUCUCCUGCUGCUCCAGCCUCCUUAAGUCGCCUCUUCUCUGGAUGCUCUGAGCUCCCCGACCACCCUGACUCUUUAGAGUUCUGGAACAUUCUAUGAGCCUUCCUGCCUCAGGACCUUGGCACAGGCCGUUUGCCUUUUCCUACCUUCCCACUACAGACCAUCUUUAGGUCGUAGCUGAAUUAUCACUUCUGUGAACUUCCUGUGACUUUCCCACAGGUAAGCUCCUCCUGGAAAUUGUUCUCUCUUAACACCUGCGCUUAUUAAUUUUCCACAGCAUCGGCUAUAAUAGCAGUUAAUGAAUUCAUUGUGUAAUUAUUUGUUCAAUGCCUGCCCUUUUGACUGGUCUAUAAACACUGUGCAGUCAGAGAUUGUGUCGCGUUCACUGCUGCGGGGCAGCAUUUUGCACCGUGCCUGGCACCUAGCUGGUGCUGGGUAAACACUGAGGGGAUGAAUGAAUGAAUGCAAGUGGGGCAGCAGGUAGGGAAGCAUGAAUGUCUGCUGGGCUCCUCGCUUCUUGACUCCUCCUGGCGCUCCUCAGUAGAGCCGGAUUCGCUUUCCUCCUGGGUCUGUCGGCAAUUCAGGUAUUUGCCUCUGCUCUGGGCUGGAGUCCAUCGGUCGGCAAACAUCCCGUGAGCACCCUUCCUGGCCUGAAGCUUCUUCAGGGGGUGGUGAGCCAGUUCGGCACCAACCCCUCCUUCCCACCUCUACGUCACUGGACCUAAAAAUAUAAGAAAACAAAGCCUAUAGAAAAGUAGAUGGACAAGGUCAGGCUGCCGGCCGCCCGGAGGAACAAGGAUUCUGGCCCCCGAAUGCCCAACUUCAUCACUAAAUUUUUCUUUAAAAAACCUGUUGCGUGGGGAUCCCUGGGGGGGCUCAGCAGUUGAGGGCCUGCCUUCGGCCCAGGGCGUGAUCCUGGAGACCCGGGAUCGAGUCC